CGAGUAGGCGUCCCGGUAAGUCAGAUGUGGAAUCUUUUCGCUUAACGAAAAAAUUGCAUUUGAAACUAUCGGGAUUGAGUCAGUGAGGGGAGGGCGGAAUUCCUGGUGUAGCGGUGAAAUGCGUAGAUAUCAGGAGGAAGGCCUGUGGCGAAGGCGGCCCUCUGGCACUGCACUGACGCUGAGGCGCGAAAGCGUGGGGAGCAAACAGGAUUAGAUACCCUGGUAGUCCACGCCCUAAACGGUGGGCAUUAGGUGUAGGGCUCGUAAGGGUUCUGUGCCGAAGGGAAACCAUUAAAUGCCCCGCCUGGGGAGUACGGCCGCAAGGUUGAA
rnacentral:rRNA from 1 species